rnacentral:lncRNA from 1 species
AGCCAGCCCCAGCCCCCUCGCCACGGAGCAGAGCGGCUGCCUCCGCCUCCCUCCAGGCCCAAACCAGCUGGACCAGCUUUCCUGGUGCCACCCUGGGCCCCCUCCCACCAGCCAGGUCCCAGCGUCCCAUCUGGGACACCUUCAGGCUUCGAGCGGUCCGCACUCAGAGUGCGCUUCUGGGCAACAUGGCUUUGCAGAGCCAGGCAUGGGCUCCGGCCACACCCAUAUACUCGCCCUCUGCCCAGGCUCCUCCCAGGGACAAAAAGGAAACAGAGGUUGCUCUUUGUGUCCUGGGCAGCCGAGAGUUUGGGGCCUAAACUUGAGGGAUCAGGAGGCGGGGCGCUGAGGGUUGGGAUCCCUGUCCCAGCAGGCCGGUGGCCGAGAGCUCCCUCUACCGGCAGCGGCUGGAGGUCAUCGCUGGAGCCUCUGACCCGGGGCCUCUGCGGACUCCAGCCCUCGACCCGGUCUGGGCCUCCAUCCUUGACCUCCCUCCCUCAGCACCUGAACUCUCUGUGCCCGGUAUCUGCAGCUCACUUCCCGGGCCCCCUUCAGCACCGAUCUUCCUGCCCUCAUUUUGUACCACGCACUUCUCUGAUCCCCACCUUGAUACCCCCACCAUCUCUCUGUCCUGCACAUCUUCAUCCAUCUGUGUGGGGUUCCCCCUUCACCCCAUCUCGGACCACCCCUUCUCACUGACACCCUCCUUUGCAUCCCCAAAUCUAGACCCCUCCCAGCUUUCUGAACCCAGUCUAGGGAUCCCUUCCGACUGGUUCGGGUCCCCAUCCAAGGCCCCGCCCCCACCCACCACCCACCCCUCCACGGACCCCUAUUGGGCUCGGCAAGGCCUC